UGUGGUAAGAGGCUGAUAAACAGGUCUUUUCUGGGACAAGGUCUGAACAGCCUGAGGAUGGUGAGAGGUAGCAAGAUGGUGCCACUAUUCCAGGUCCUUGGGCUCAUGUUCCUCUGUCUUCCAGGUCUCCAGGCACAGCCAUCCAGCUCAGAGACUUUUAAUUGCAUCUUGAUGGGGAGCAAGCUCAACACAGUUGGUCAAGAAGAUGAUGUCCAUGCCCUAAGUCCUAUGUCCUCUGCUGCUCUGUGUUCUAGGGGGAACAGAUGGCACCUGUGCCAAGAAUUUUCCUGGUUAGUGAAGAUUUUGCCGAGUGUCUCAGGAAAGGUGACGGAAGUGCUUUCGCUAGGAGGCAAGACGCCUGGUUCUUCCAAGUCAAACGGCCCAUAAAUCUACAAAGACCCUCUAAGGACACAUUCAGCCUGUUUUCUAUUCUGUCAGACAUGGUCCCACACUCAGCUGCAGCCCAGAUAUCUUGGUUAAGGCAGCACCAGCAGAAGCAGUUUUCAGGGCUUCAGAAACUACCCAAAGUGAUCACCAGAGGGCGCAGAACAAGAGAAGAGAAGACCAAGAAGACGGCCAAGUACCAUGUGACUGUUGAACCAUCCUUGUUCAUUUCAUUCACUCAUUCAUUCAGUAAAGGUACAUUGAACAUCAGUUGUAUGCCAGACACUUGUUAGUCACUGAGAGCGCAGUGGUGAGUGAGAUGCCCUGUGAAAUGCAAGAAAUAAUGAAGAAUGUGAACCAUAUUCUUUUUCAUGGAAUUAGAAGAUACGAUAUCCUGGGUAAAGACUAGCAUCAACGAUGUGCUAUGUGUGGUUAUUUGUGCGAUCCUGCAGUUCCCCUAGGUUGAUGCGUCCUCAUGUAUAUGUCUUACAUUUGGGUGGACUCUUCCUGGUUUCUGUGAUUAACUUUGGCAGCUACCCUUCAUCUUCUCUGAACUCCCAGCCAGGCAAUUACAAGACUGACUAAAUAUUUACCCUUUCUCUUCACCUCACUUUAAAAGACUUUGUUAGAGUUCAAGGAAUAGAGGUGAGCACUUCUAAUCUGAAGGGGUCCUAGGUUCCUUCCAGGGACCACUAGUAGUCCACUUGCAGUAUCACAGUCAUGCCAAUGCAAAGAAUAAAUACAAAAGUAUUCCGUAUCUGUGCAUCUUCUUGGCAUAGGAACUUCUAGUUACAAAAAAUUAUAAAGAAACUGCUUGAAAAUCUUCUUGUAUUAGGUUCUUUUGGAGGAAGUAAGUCUUUGACAAACUCCUAAAUUUCUUCUAAAAUUAGUUUCUAUCUCUUUGGGAGCCAAUUAUUCCAUUUAUUUGGGGAGAUAAGGAAUUGUACACUUCAUUUAAAUGUUCAAAAAGCAACAGCCUCCUUCACUGUGGAAAACAAUAUGGAGAUCCCUCAGAAAACUAAAAAUAGAACUAUCACUUGAUCCAGCAAUCCCACUCCUGGGCAUCUCUCCAGAGAAAACAAUGACUUGCAAAGACACAUGUACUCCAAUGUUCAUUGCAGCACUCUUUUCAAUAGACAAGACAUGGAAACAACCUAAUGUCCAUCGACAGAGAAGUGGAUCAAGAAGAUGGGGUACAUAUACACAAUGGAAUAUUACUCAGCCAUUAAAAGGAAAGAAAUAACGGCAGUUGCAGCAACAUGGAUGGACCUAGAAAUUGUCAUGCUAAGUGAAGUCAGUCAGACAAUGAGACACCAACAUUAAAUGCCAUCACUGACAAGUGGAAUCUGAAUAAAGGACAAAAUGAACUUCUUUGCAGAACAGAUACUGACUCACAGACUUUGAAAAUCUUAUGGUUUCCAAAGGAGACAGUUUGAGGGAGUU